rnacentral:tRNA from 1 species
UCGGGGGUGGUGUAAUCGGUAACACAGCAGCUUCUGGUGCUGCCUUUGGGGGUUCGAGUCCUCCCCCCGAGCCA